rnacentral:rRNA from 1 species
UACGUAGGUGGCAAGCGUUAUCCGGAAUUAUUGGGCGUAAAGCGCGCGCAGGCGGUUUCUUAAGUCUGAUGUGAAAGCCCACGGCUCAACCGUGGAGGGUCAUUGGAAACUGGGAAGCUUGAGUGCAGAAGAGGAGAGUGGAAUUCCAUGUGUAGCGGUGAAAUGCGUAGAGAUAUGGAGGAACACCAGUGGCGAAGGCGACUCUCUGGUCUGCAACUGACGCUGAGGCGCGAAAGCGUGGGGAGCGAACAGGAUUAGAUACCCUGGUAGUCCACGCUGUAAACGAUGAGUGCUAGGUGUCGGGGGGUCCAACCCUCGGUGCUGUCGCUAACGCAAUAAGCACUCCGCCUGGGGAGUACGGUCGCAAGACUGAA